rnacentral:ncRNA from 1 species
GUAGCCUUGCGCGUUCGAGGUUCUCUGCCCUGCAGAGCUAAGAUGGGAACGCGGUCCAAGCCGCGGCUGCCCCCGCAACUGUAAGUGAUGAAGGCUGCGCCAAGGCCACUGCGAGUGUUCGCGGGAAGGCGCCGCAGCCUCGGCCAGCACGGUCGGCAUCACGAGCCAGGAGACCUGCCUCAGCCGUUCUUUCCUA